CACUAAGGCGGUUAAUUUAGUUGAAAGUGAAAUUCGCCAAUGAGUGGCGGAAUGCUCUCGAAACGUCUUUUCUUGGGUGAGACAGAGGGGAGUGGAAUUUCGUGUGUAGGGGUGAAAUCCGUAAAUCUACGAAGGAAGGCCAAAAGCGAAGGCAUCUCUCUGGGUCCCUACCGACGCUGUUGUGCGAAAGCAUGGGUAGCGAACA
rnacentral:rRNA from 1 species